CCCUGCGGUGGAACGGACAGGGGCAUCAGGCCCGGUGCUGCGGUCAGGGGUGUCCGGCCCGGGCGGGAGGAAUGGUCAGAGCGCAGCUCUGGCUGGGAUGACCAGAGCUGAGGCCACCUCACGGCCAUGGCCACCCAGAGCCACGGUCACCUCAUGGCCACGUUUUACCACUAAGAGAGCAGGCAGCACUGGGAGAAACAUCCUCCAACAUGUCACAUUUAGCCCCAAAACAGGUUGGAGAAGAAAAACACCAUUUCAAGUCCAAAUUUAACAUCAGAAUGAAUUUCUGCCAGAUGAAUUUCUGCCUUUUGAGGAAAAUAAAGGAUCACAGCAGGAGAUAUCCCCAGAGCAGAAA